AUUGAACGCUGGCGGCAGGCCUAACACAUGCAAGUCGAGCGAUCGGCGGACAGGUGAGUAAUGUCUGGGAAACUGCCUGAAGGAGGGGGAUAACUACUGGAAACGGUAGCUAAUACAGCAUACCAUCAGAUGUGCCCAGAUGGGCAUAGCUAGUGGGUGGUGUGACGGCUCACCUAGGCGACGAUCCCUAGCUGGUCUGAGAGGAGGACCAGCCACACUGGAACUGAGACACGGGCCAGACUCCUACGUGAGGCAGCAGGGGGGAAUAGUGCACAAUGGGCGCAAGCCUGAUGCAGCCAUGCCGCGUGUGUGAAGAAGGCCGUCGGGUUGUAAAGCACUUUCGGCGGGGAGGCGUUACCCGCAGAAGAAGCACCGGCUAACUACGUGCCAGCAGCCGCGGUAAUUC
rnacentral:rRNA from 1 species